ACUCAGGUGUUGUUGGGUAGGGGAGCGUUCUGUAAGCCUGUGAAGGUGUGUCGUGAGGCAUGCUGGAGGUAUCAGAAGUGCGAAUGCUGACAUAAGUAACGAUAAAGCGGGUGAAAAGCCCGCUCGCCGGAAGACCAAGGGUUCCUGUCCAACGUUAAUCGGGGCAGGGUGAGUCGACCCCUAAGGCGAGGCCGAAAGGCGUAGUCGAUGGGAAACGGGUUAAUAUUCCCGUACUUGGUGUUACUGCGAAGGGGGGACGGAGAAGGCUAUGUUGGCCGGGCGACGGUUGUCCCGGUUUAAGCGUGUAGGUGUGUGUUCCAGGUAAAUCCGGUUCACUUUAACACUGAGGCGUGAUGACGAGGCACUACGGUGCUGAAGCAACAAAUGCCCUGCUUCCAGGAAAAGCCUCUAAGCAUCAGGUAACAUCAAAUCGUACCCCAAACCGACACAGGUGGUCAGGUAGAGAAUACCAAGGCGCUUGAGAGAACUCGGGUGAAGGAACUAGGCAAAAUGGUGCCGUAACUUCGGGAGAAGGCACGCUGACAC
rnacentral:rRNA from 1 species